GAUGAACGCUGGCGGCGUGCCUAAUACAUGCAAGUCGAGCGAACAGACGAGGAGCUUGCUCCUCUGACGUUAUCGGCGGACGGGUGAGUAACACGUGGAUAACCUACCUAUAAGACUGGGAUAACUUCGGGAAACCGGAGCUAAUACCGGAUAAUAUAUUGAACCGCAUGGUUCAAUAGUGAAAGAAGGUUUUUCGGUCACUUAUAGAUGGAUCCGCGCCGCAUUAGUUAGUUGGUAAGGUAACGGGUUAGCAAGGCGACGAUGCGUAGCCGACCUGAGAGGGUGAUCGGCCACCCUGGAAGUGAGACACGGUCCAGACUCCUACGGGAGGCAGCAGUAGGGAAUCUUCCGGAAUGGGCGAAAGCCUGACGGAGCAACGCCGCGUGAGUGAUGAAGGUCUUCGGAUCGUAAAACUCUGUUAUUAGGGAAGAACAAAUGUGUAAGUAACUAUGCACGUAUUGACGGUACCUAAUCAGAAAGCCACGGCUAACUACGUG
rnacentral:rRNA from 1 species